rnacentral:rRNA from 1 species
GAGAGAGACAUGCGCGCAUAUCAAUAAGCGGAGGAAAAGAAACUAACAAGGAUUCCCUUAGUAACGGCGAGUGAAGCGGGAAGAGCUCAAAUUUGAAAUCUUCAAGGUUUUACCUUGACGAAUUGUAGUUUAAAGAAGUGUUUUCUGCUGAAGUUUUGGUAAAAGUUCUUUGGAAUAGGACAUCAUAGAGGGUGAGAAUCCCGUAUUUGACCAUUAUUUUCAGCCUUGUGAUACACUUUCAAAGAGUCGGAUUGUUUGGGAAUGCAGUCCAAAAUGGGUGGUAAAUUUCAUCUAAAGCUAAAUAUUGGCGAGAGACCGAUAGCGAACAAGUACCGUGAGGGAAAGAUGAAAAGGAACUUUGAAAAGAGAGUUAAACAGUACGUGAAAUUGUCAAAAGGGAAGCGUUUGACACCAGUGUUGUUUUCUCGAAAAUCAAUUAAAAAUGGCUCGAUUUUGUAUUGCUGAGACCUUAAAAGCUCACUGUACAUUUUUCGUGUCUUUUUUAAUGCACUUUUCGUUUAACAAGUCAACAUCAGUUUCUUUUGUUGUAAAAGGGUCAUUGGAAGGUGGCUUUCUUUUCGGAGAAAGUGUUUAUAGCCUUUGGCCUCUGCAAUCGAAGAGACUGAGGUCUGCAGCAUAGACUCUUCGGGGUUAGAUACAUUUGUGCUAAGUUAUAGCUUUUUAUAGACAACUUGUUGACUAUAAUUAGUCUUGUAGCUUACUCGCUUAUGCUAUUUUACCUACGCUUAGGAUGUUGAAGAUGUAGCACAUCAU